rnacentral:lncRNA from 1 species
CCUCCCGGUUCGGCCCUCCCGGUUCCCCCCUCCCCUCCCUCCCGGCCCCCGCCGCGGCGGCGCUCACCGGCCGCGUGCCCAGGUGGUAGGUGUUGCCGAGGCAGAUGCGGCAGCCGAGGGCGGCGAGCUGGGCGGCCGUGACGCCUUUGGCUGUACCGCGGGUACCCACGGGCAUGAAAACGGGGCAGGGAACGGGGCCGUGUGGCAGCCGCAGCUCGCCGACCCGCGCCCGGCUCCGCCCGCACUCCGCCGUUAUCCGCAGCAGCGGCGCCGGGCCCGGCCCCACCGCCCUGGGCGCCGCCAUCUUCCCGCUCUCCCACGUGACCCGCGCUUCCGGCCGCCGCCGCGUCCCGACGGAAGUAGCCGUAACCGGGGGCAACGCGGCCGCCAUGUUGGGGCUUCGGCCUCCGCGCUGGGCCUCGGCGGGGACGCGGGGGGGGGGAAUCCCUCCUCCGGCCCCCGUGUCCCCCGGGGAGAGCCCCCUCCUUUCCUCCUCCCCGUGAUCCCCGGAGAGCCCUCUCUCCUCCCCGCUGCGGCGAGCCCCAGCCUCUGCUCUCCUGUCCCUUGGGAGGGCCCCCUCCCCUGGUCCCUAUGUCCCCCAGGGAGAGCCCCCUCCUCUGCCUCCCUCGUCCCGGGGAGAGCCCCCUCCCCUGGUCCCUAAGCCCCCCAGGGGAAGCCCCCUCCUCUGUCCCCUUGUCCUCGGGCAGAGCCCCCUCCCCUGGUCCCUAAGCCCCCCCAGGGGAAGCCCCCUCCUCCGCCUCCCUGCCUCAGUUUCCCCUCACACAACAGCUCCGUCUGACCCCUCGGGAUCCUCCGUGCCAGCUGCACCCAGGAUUUCAGCCCGGGGUGCCUCCUCGUCGGGACCAUCAAAGCCCCGAGCAGACUCUGCCGUAAUCUGCUCCCAGCGCGAGGGAGGCGAGCGUGCCGGCUCGGUGCAUGGGAACCCGCCCGUCUAAAGGAGCUGGAAGAUGGAUGCGGUGCAUCCCGGCCGGACCGAGCCCCCGGCCCCACGGCAGCCGGAGGCGCAGGAACGACCGAACCGGCGGAUGGUGGACCGGCUGAGCCCAGAGCUCCGGACGGAGAAAUACAUCCUACUGAGCAUGGACGGGAAGCUGCUGGGACCGGAGCUGAGCCGGAUCCGGAGCGAGAUGGCCCUGCCGCUGGAACGCCCGGACGCCGACCUACCCCAGGACCUGCCCUCCGGCUACCUCUGCCGCCAGCGCCGUUCCCUGCCCACCUUCCCGCUGCCCCCCGGCCCCCAGACCCCCGCCGAGCUCAGGAGCAGCUCGGACGUUCUCUGCGCUGGCCGGUUCCCGGCGGGACUCAGCCGGCUGGUGACCGGCAUGCAGACCCCGGUCUCGCCGCGACGCCGGGGCAGCCCACUGGCACCGGAGAGCGGCUGGGGAGGCGCGGGGCGGUGAGGGGAGCCCCCUCCCUGCUCCGUGCGGGGCGAGGGUGUGAAAUAAAGACACACCCCCCCCCCCGUUUCAAGG